GACGAACGCUGGCGGCGUGCUUAACACAUGCAAGUCGAACGGGCCUGUCUUCUUUUUUGGGGGUGGGUUGAGUGGCGAACGGGUGAGUAUCACGUGAGUAACCUGCCCUUCGGUCCUGGAUAACCGCUUGAAAGGGCGGCUAAUACGGGGUGGUCCGGUUGGUCCGCAUGGGCUGGUCGGGAUAGAUUCACUGUUUUUGGUGUUUCGGCGGGGGAUGGGCUCGCGGCCUAUCAGCUUGUUGGUGGGGUGAUGGCCUACCAAGGCGGUGACGGGUAGCCGGCCUGAGAGGGUGGGCGGCCACACUGGGACUGAGAUACGGCCCAGACUCCUGCGGGAGGCAGCAGUGGGGGGUAUUGCACAAUGGGCGGAAGCCUGAUGCAGCGACGUCGCGUGAGGGAUGGAGGCCUUCGGGUUGUGAACCUCUGUUUCCGGUGGUGAAGGCCCUGUCUGUGUGGUGGGGUUGACGGUAGCCGGGGAUGAAGCGCCGGCUAACUACGUG
rnacentral:rRNA from 1 species